UACGGGGGGAGCAAGCGUUGUUCGGAUUUACUGGGCGUAAAGGGCGCGUAGGCGGCCAGCACAAGUCAGUUGUGAAAUCUCCGAGCUUAACUCGGAACGGUCAACUGAUACUGUGCGGCUAGAGUGCAGAAGGGGCAACUGGAAUUCUUGGUGUAGCGGUGAAAUGCGUAGAUAUUGGGAAGAACACCUGAGGCGAAGGCGGGUUGCUGGGCCGACACUGACGCUGAGGCGCGAAAGCCAGGGGAGCAAACGGG
rnacentral:rRNA from 1 species